UACGAAGGGUGCAAGCGUUAAUCGGAAUUACUGGGCGUAAAGCGCGCGUAGGUGGUUCAGCAAGUUGGAUGUGAAAGCCCCGGGCUCAACUGGGAACUGCAUCCAAAACUACUGAGCUAGAGUACGGUAGAGGGUGGUGGAAUUUCCUGUGUAGCGGUGAAAUGCGUAGAUAUAGGAAGGAACACCAGUGGCGAAGGCGAUCACCUGGACUGAUACUGACACUGAGGUGCGAAAGCG
rnacentral:rRNA from 1 species